AUUGAACGCUGGCGGCAGGCUUAACACAUGCAAGUCGAGCGGGGGAAGGUAGCUUGCUACUGGACCUAGCGGCGGACGGGUGAGUAAUGCUUAGGAAUCUGCCUAUUAGUGGGGGACAACAUCUCGAAAGGGAUGCUAAUACCGCAUACGUCCUACGGGAGAAAGCAGGGGAGCUUCGGACCUUGCGCUAAUAGAUGAGCCUAAGUCGGAUUAGCUAGUUGGUGGGGUAAAGGCCUACCAAGGCGACGAUCUGUAGCGGGUCUGAGAGGAUGAUCCGCCACACUGGGACUGAGACACGGCCCAGACUCCUACGGGAGGCAGCAGUGGGGAAUAUUGGACAAUGGGCGGAAGCCUGAUCCAGCCAUGCCGCGUGUGUGAAGAAGGCCUUUUGGUUGUAAAGCACUUUAAGCGAGGAGGAGGCUCUUAAGGUUAAUACCCUUGAUGAGUGGACGUUACUCGCAGAAUAAGCACCGGCUAACUCUGUGCCAGCCGCCGCGGUAAGAC
rnacentral:rRNA from 1 species